AGCGAACGCUGGCGGCAGGCCUAACACAUGCAAGUCGAGCGGCCGUAGCAAUACGGCAGCGGCAGACGGGAGAGUAACACGUGGGAACGCGCCCUUCGGUUCGGAAUAACUCAGGGAAACUUGAGCUAAUACCGGAUACGCCCUUACGGGGAAAGAUUUAUUGCCGAAGGAACGGCCCGCGUCCGAUUAGCUUGUUGGUGAGGUAACGGCUCAACAAGGCGACGAUCGGUAGCUGGUCUGAGAGGAUGACCAGCUUCACUGGGACUGAGACACGGCCCAGACUCCUACGGGAGGCAGCAGUGGGGAAUAUUGGACAAUGGGCGCGAGCCUGAUCCAGCCAUGCCGCGUGGGUGAUGAAGGCCCUAGGGUUGUAAAGCCCUUUUAGCGGGGAAGAUAAUGACGGUACCCGCAGAAGAAGCCCCGGCUAACUUCGUGCCAGCCGCCGCGGUAAGAC
rnacentral:rRNA from 1 species